GGGGAGAUGGCGAAAUCGGCAGCCGCAUCGGACUUAAAAUCCGAAGGCCGCAAGGCCGUGCGGGUUCGAGUCCCGCUCUCCCCA
rnacentral:tRNA from 1 species